AACGUAGGAGACAAACGUUAUCCGGAGUUACUGGGCGUAAAGGGCGUGUAGGUGGUUUCGUAAGUCUGGCGUGAAAUAUCUCGGCUUAACCGAGGCAGGUCGUCGGAUACUGCGGGACUAGAGGACGGUAGAGGCGUGUGGAAUUCCGGGUGUAGUGGUGAAAUGCGUAGAGAUCCGGAGGAACACCAGUGGCGAAGGCGACACGCUGGGCCGUACCUGACGCUGAGGAGCGAAAGCAUGGGGAGCGAACAGG
rnacentral:rRNA from 1 species